rnacentral:lncRNA from 1 species
GCGGAUUGGAAGACAUGACUCUCCAUCAGCUUGCAUGCAUGAGGUUGUACUUAUUUGUCAUGGGAGUCAACCCAGGCAGGAAUGCAGGACUUACCUUCAUUGUAAGCUCUAAUCCCAAGAAAAUCCCUUUUUGGAGAAAAGGGUGUUAGUGAUGCAUCUCUUCUGAUCUACAUUCCAAGGUAUAAAUUGCCUGUUUAAAGAAAAGCACUGUGAAUAUGACUUUGGAGCGGAUGACACCAGACAUGCACCUGGAAGGCAAAAUCGCCAAACUGUGUCUCACUUAUUUUGGCCAUGGUAUCGGGGAAUUCACUGAAGAAAGUAGUUAUGCUUGGAAGAAUUAAGAGGUAAAAGGAAAUCAGGCCACCAAAGAACACUGGUUGGAUACUAUCAAGGCUGACACCAGCCAGACCAUAAAAUAACUCAAGGAAGCAGCCCAGGAUUGGAUGAUGUGGGAGACCUGGCCCAUAGAAUCACCAAGAAUCGAACACGAUUGAAUGGAUAACAUCAUCAUC